rnacentral:pre_miRNA from 1 species
ACAACAACAUUCGGACCGCCGGUCUACCGAGCAAUAUCAUCCGCUCGGUGGAAGAUGUUCCCUUCGUCGUUUAAG